CUGAAAGCCGCUGCGGAAGUGGCUCAACGCAUGGCAGGCACAGGGGCUCCAUGGGGUAAGUAGCCCACAGGACAGCCACUAGGAAUGUGGUCCCUCCCUGCAUACAUGUGCUGUCUCCUGUUGAGUGGGCGAAUCUGUUCCUCCAUCCUUGAGUUGGGGCAGCUGUGCUCAACAGAAAUGCAGCAGAAACCACACCACCUGACUUCUGGGUUAGGUGAGAAGGAACCUCGCAGUUCCUCCUGGAUCUCUUGUAAUGUCUGCCGCGGGUGAAACCAGCUGCCACGUUAGGAAUCUGCACCAAGACCACCAUGUUAUGAGGAAGCUCAAGCCAGCCACGUGGAGAGGCUGCACGGAUGGAGAAACAGCUGCACGGCCAGCCCCAGGGAGUGAUGUGAGAGUGAAGGAGCCUCUAG
rnacentral:lncRNA from 10 species